rnacentral:rRNA from 1 species
AUUGAACGCUGGCGGCAUGCUUUACACAUGCAAGUCGAACGGCAGCGGGGGCUUCGGCCCGCCGGCGAGUGGCGAACGGGUGAGUAAUGCAUCGGAACGUGCCCAGUCGUGGGGGAUAACACAUCGAAAGAUGUGCUAAUACCGCAUACGUCCUGAGGGAGAAAGCGGGGGAUCUUCGGACCUCGCGCGAUUGGAGCGGCCGAUGUCGGAUUAGCUAGUUGGUGGGGUAAAGCCCACCAAGGCGACGAUCCGUAACUGGUCUGAGAGGAUGAUCAGUCACACUGGAACUGAGACACGGUCCAGACUCCUACGGGAGGCAGCAGUGGGGAAUAUUGGACAAUGGGCGCAAGCCUGAUCCAGCCAUGCCGCGUGAGUGAUGAAGGCCUUAGGGUUGUAAAGCUCUUUCGCCGGUGAAGAUAAUGACGGUAACCGGUAAAGAAGCCCCGGCUAACUUCGUGCCAGCAGCCG